rnacentral:tRNA from 1 species
GCCGCCAUCGUCUAGUGGUUAGGACGUCGGGUUCUCAGUCCGGCAACAGGGGUUCGAUUCCCCUUGGCGGUA